rnacentral:lncRNA from 1 species
UCUAUAGUUUUAGGUUCAAGAUGAGAGACAAAAGCACAAUGAUUGAAUGCAUCUUUAAGAGAAGAACGAGUUCUUACCCCAUGUGUAGGAUCAUUAAUGAUUAGUUUCUUGGGGUGAUUGUGAUCAUACCUCCAUUCUUUGGGUAGAUUAUUUGUAUGUUGAGGUUGUUCUUGUCGUUCUUCACCUUCCUCAUCUUGUUUGUCUUCAUGUUCUUCAUCAUCUUGAAUUGUUGAAUCUUUUAGAGUGAUCUCCUUCAUCCCUUCUAUAAGAGGAUCUGCAUCAUCAAAACCUUCAUUCUUCCUUGAAGGAAGAUCGUUAGUUUCAUCAAAGACAACAUGUAUAGACUCCUCUACUACUAAGGUUCUUUUGUUAAAAGCUCUAAAGGCUUUAUUGGAAGAGGAGUAACCAAG